CCCUGAAAUUUAGUUUACUCUCCACAUAGACUUUAAUUAAUUUGGGAUGAAUGAUAAAGGAUUUUACAUAAACACAUGUUAGACACAGCCAUUUUCAUGCAUAUAUAUUAACAGUUCAUUUGCAUUGUCGGGUAUAUAACUUAAAAAUGCAUUCAGCCAAAAAAUCCAUGAUUAUGGGUAAUUUUAUUUAUAAGGUGGGAAUUAACAUUUUUGUCUUUUUAGAUGUUUUUACUCCAAAUGGUGAGAGAGAAAAGAGGUGUUGGGGGUUAAAGGAAAAUGAUUUUUUUCCUCACAUAGUAACAAAAAAAAUUAACUUUUUUCACGGAAAUGUAUGAGAUCAGAGAGAGAGAGAGAGAGAGAGAGAGAGAGCAAAAACAAAGAGGACAAACAAAAUGAACUAUGUANNNNNNNNNNNNNNNUUAACUUUUUUCACGGAAAGAAAUAAUUUGAGGAAUCAGAGAGAGAGAGAGAGAGAGAGAGAGAGAGAGCAAAAACAAAGAGGCAAACAAAAUGAACUAUGUAUCAAUAAUUGAUGAAAACCAGGGAAUCUUCUCUGCCAUUUUCUCUUAGUUUUCACCACUUGAUUGAACUAUCCACAAAUUGAUCAGCCAUAAAAGUCAAGCAAAUAAAAAAAAUUAAAAUAAAAUAUAUCAAAUAAACAUAGCUUCCCAUUAAAUUCACUAAAUAUAUAUAUGAAUGUAGAAAUUGAGAAAAUCCAAAAUUUUCUCCUUUUACAUUUUUCAAGAAGUAAUAGAAGAAAAAAAUUAUGACAGGCUUCCAUAGCUUAAAUAUACAAAAGUUAAAGAAAAAUGUGGAUCUAGUUUUUCAUAACUAAUCAUAAAAAUUCAAUUAAAACCCAUAAUUCUUCUCUAAAUUUGAAUUUGCUAUAUAUAAGUGUUAUAGGUACUCAGAGAAUUCACAUAAAGUAUGCCAAAUUAUGGAGUCGUUUAACUCAUGAGCAA
rnacentral:lncRNA from 1 species